GACGAACGCUGGCGGCAGGCUUAACACAUGCAAGUCGAGCGCCCCGCAAGGGGAGCGGCAGACGGGUGAGUAACGCGUGGGAACGUACCCUUUGCUACGGAAUAGCUCCGGGAAACUGGAAUUAAUACCGUAUGUGCCCUACGGGGGAAAGAUUUAUCGGCAAAGGAUCGGCCCGCGUUGGAUUGGCUAGUUGGUGGGGUAAUGGCCUACCAAGGCGACGAUCCGUAGCUGGUCUGAGAGGACGAUCAGCCACACUGGGACUGAGACACGGCCCAGACUCCUACGGGGGGCAGCAGUGGGGAAUAUUGGACAAUGGGCGCAAGCCUGAUCCAGCCAUGCCGCGUGAGUGAUGAAGGCCUUAGGGUUGUAAAGCUCUUUCACCGGAGAAGAUAAUGACGGUAUCCGGAGAAGAAGCCCCGGCUAACUUCGUGCCAGCCGCCGCCGUAAGAC
rnacentral:rRNA from 1 species